rnacentral:rRNA from 1 species
AUGCGAGGGGAUAAGCCCCACGCCGCUCCUCUCCAACCUGUGGCCGAGACCCCGUUUGCCUCCAUCGAUUCCCUUCUCCUCUCUCCUCUCGCUUGCAAGAACCCCGUCGCCGUCGGCCAGCUCUCCCUUCCCCGGCGCCCCCUCUCUCUAGUCUCUACACCCGCAAGCGUGCUCCGCCUCCCCGCUCGCUGGGCUCUCUCCCCUCCCCAGCUCGACCGCGCCUCCAAGCCGAGUGCCUCCAGCUGUAGCUCGUCGGCCACGCUCUCCGACUGUUGCGCCUUCCCUCCCGGCCAGCAUCCGGGUCUCCAUCUCAGGCCGACGACGGAGAGGAGCGCCAGUUCGUCCACCGCGUGGGCCACGCAGCUGCCUCAGCCCAGCUCAGCCGCGAAGCCGUCGUUCGCCAUCUCUCUGCCCUGCUCGAGUGAAGGUUCUGCAGAGAGCACGGCGGCCGCCUGCACCGCGGCGCCUCGGCCCGCCAAGGCCAGCGCCGAGGACGACAAGGCCCGCAGGAAGGCCAAGGGCAUCGCCAAGCAGCAGGAGGACUUGCGGGCUAGGCUCGCCUGCCUCAAGCGCGCCCGCGAGCUCGUCCCUGUGCCGGCCAAGGCCAUGUUUAGCGACUUCCUGUCCUCUGUGCUCUCCAACGCCCGCCGCGACGCCUCACCCCGUUCCUGGGCUCGGGCGGUGCGGACGCCCGCCGCGACGCAUCACCACUUUCUUGGGUUCUGCCGCGUGGACGCCGGCGGCAAGCGGCAGCACGUGCCGGGAGGUGGAGGAUGGCAAUGGAUAAGGAUUAAGGAGCACGGAUGGAAUUCCAACGCCCCCAGCCUACCACGCCGCUCCUCGGUGCUUCUAGAUGGAGGAGCACCACAGGUUGCUCCACCUUUGUCGCCUCUCAAGUCCCAACCCACCUCCCCACGCCUGCGCACGCUCCGCCCCGCUGGUGCGCCGCUCGCCGGAGCCGAGCACCGCAGCCGCCCUACCCCGCUUCCCCCUGCUCCCCUUUCCUCUUGUCUCUCUCUAACCUCUCUCUCUCCCAUGGACGCCUGGAGCUCCCUCGCCGGCCGAUGCGCCGCCUUGCCCCGCGGCCUACAGAUGCGGCCGGCCACCCCGCCGGAGCCGAGCGCCGCCGCCGCCCCAGGUGAGCAGCGCCGCUGCCCUACCCCGUUUCCCCUCGCUCCCCCUUCCUCUUGUCUCUCUCUAACCUCUCUUUCCCCGCCCCAGGUGAGCAGCGUCGCCGCCCUGCCCCGUUUCCACCCCACGGCCUACAGAUCCGGCCGGCCUCCAUUGCCCUUGUCGUUCCCGUGCCCGGAUCUGGCCGGAGUUCACCGCCACCGUGCCCGCCCGUGUCGGCAACGUGGCGGCCUCCUCAGCCUCGAGGGCGAGCUCCCAGUUGACCGCGUCCGCCGCCGCGACGCCUCGGUCCACCGCGGCCUUCAACGCCCGCCGCGACGCCUCUGUACGCCGCGCUCUACAACGCCAGUCGCGACACCUCGCCCCAUUCCUGGGCUCUGGCGGCGCUCACGUCCGCCGCGACGCAUCCCCUGCCUUGCUUGUGCGGUGUCGACGCCGGCGACAAGCGGUUCAGUAGAGGCAGGGACAUCUCCAAGCCAGUCCCGCAAACCUUCCGAAACCGUUAAGACAAUGUUGUCCGAACAGGGGAAGCCAUCCAACGCGAGUUUGUAUCGGUCCGCGAAGCGGUUCAGAUGUGUUUUAUCCCACAAACGUGGGGGAGAGACGUGUGACUGGACGAGACGGAACGAAUAUCUACCACCCCUCUCCAAUGCCCCGUCCGUCCGUAUGCCGCCAUUAAACAGGCUCACCGGCCGAGAAACUCACUCCGGCGCCCCGCAUGGAUGCACCCGGACGCCUGGCCUCACUGGAAUCUGCUAUUUAAGCACGGACAAACCCGACUGUCUCCACAUCACAACACAUCCAUCCCACAUCCUUCUCCUUUCCUUCACAUCUGCCAUUACCGCCAGCGAAAAGCACUGUGGGACAAUCGAGGCCGGCUUACCGGGCAUCUCACCCGAGGUCUCCGACAACGAGGAUGACACCGCGAUGGAGACAGUCUCCGAUGACUCCACCCCGUCUCCCGUGCCUACUGCGCACGCCAGCUUCAUCAUGGAGCAGGCGCACUUCAAUGCCGCCAUGGUGGAGGUGCGGCUGUUGCCGCCGAUGCCUUUAUCAGCGUUCCAGCAGGCACAGGAGAAACAACGGUACAACAUGUUCCUCCUAGAGCAGCACCGGCUAGCGGAAGGUCAGCGUGUGAGUGAGGAGGCCAUGGCCGCAGCGAACCCCAAUGUCGUUGCGGAGCAGCGUGCCAUCUACGAUGUCGUCCGUGCUCAAGCCGCCGCUCGUCGGGAAACGGCUGCCGCCGAGGCGCAGAUUCGAGGGACGAAGGAUAACAACGCCAGUUGUGCCUCCUAUGCGCCGCCGCCGAACCAUCCGGCGGCCCGGUGGGACGAUGACAAUGUGGGCGCCAUCAUUUCCAUCGUGGUCCUCAUGUCCACCGGCGAAGGACAAGCUCUUUUCUUACUACUCAUUCGAUCUCUGCACUUGAAAAACCAUGUCUCUGAUCUCUAUGCAAUGUUGGCCACAAAUAUGCAACAAAUACCUGACUGUUUGGCAGCAAAAAUAUCAAAUACCUCUAUGAGAUCUUCAUCCAGCCAUCCUUUAGUACCUGAACUUAUAUCUCGAGAUUCAGGUUACAUGCCAUACUCUUCUGCAACAUUGCUUGCUAAAAAAUGA